GUGGGGAAUAUUGCACAAUGGGCGCAAGCCUGAUGCAGCAACGCCGCGUGGGGGAUGAAGGCCUUCGGGUUGUAAACCCCUUUCAGCAGGGAAGAAGCGAAAGUGACGGUACCUGCAGAAGAAGCGCCGGCUAACUACGUGCCAGCAGCCGCGGUAAUACGUAGGGCGCAAGCGUUGUCCGGAAUUAUUGGGCGUAAAGAGCUCGUAGGCGGUUCGUCGCGUCUGCUGUGAAAACCUGAGGCUCAACCUCGGGCUUGCAGUGGGUACGGGCGGACUAGAGUGUGGUAGGGGAGAUCGGAAUUCCUGGUGUAGCGGUAAAAUGCGCAGAUAUCAGGAGGAACACCAAUGGCGAAGGCAGAUCUCUAGGCCACAACUGACGCUGAGGAGCGAAAGCGUGGGGAGCGAACAGGAUUAGAUACCCCUGUAGUCC
rnacentral:rRNA from 1 species